CAGGUGUGGUCUGUGGAGUCCUGCCUGACUGAAAAUAUACUCUAUAGGAUCAUAAGAAAUUUCUUUUUCCUGUUCAUCACUGAGAUUUGAGAAGCACUGCUUCUCAAGGAUUAGUGUGAUUUGAAAAUGAAAAAGAAGAAGCAGCUGGUGAAAAACAAAUUCAGGCACUGAAAAUUGAAAAAGUUAGCACUGCUUUGCUGAGGGCUUGCUGGGGGCAGAGUGCAAGUUCAGCCAGACCAUUGGACCACUGUGGCAGACAUGAAUAAUAGGAAAUCCAGGAAGGAUUGGUUGAAUGGAAAGUUGAUGGUUUGUGAUUGUCAUGCCAUCGGGAAUAACCACCAAGUCUGCACAUGUGUGAACUGCCUUCUGAUGGCAGCAUUGUAAGAUGCUGGUGAUUGUGAAUCAAUUGAGCAUUACAUCCAUUACUGAACAGGAAACCUGAAGAACAGGGGUUAUUUUGAUCAUGGAUGUCAGAGGCAGGCAGUCUGGCCUCCUCUGCCCACUCUGUCCCACAGUGUCAUCAGGAGCCUCCAGCCCUCCCUGCUCUCUUGCCAGCCAGUCUCCACCUGGGCUUGUCAGAUCAUGAUUAGCCAGUUAGUAUUUAAGUUUGCUUUGGUAGAAGCAAUGGGAAGCAAAAAAGAAGCAUGGCCAUUGAGCUGGCCUUCCCUCAAAGAGGUUUUCUGGGACCUCUAAUAAUUUCCUCUUAGAUCUGCUCUCCAGCUAUGUCCUAUGGCUACUUCUGUCUCCAAGACAGGCUGGGAAGUGUAGUUUUUGGCUGAAGCAGCUAGUAAGGAAGAAGGAAAGAAAAAGAAGACCAACAAACUGUCUCUCAUGGGUGGACUUUGACUUUAGUAAAGAAUGAAUGUGCCGUGCUUAGACACUGUAGGCACUAGUACUUGAAAAACUGCUAUAUUGGUUUACUGGAUGCUGGGGCUGAGUUCUUGGUCUGGGGCCACCACUGCUUCCUGAUCCCUUGCAUCCAGAAAGACCCAGUUCCUUCUUGAGGUCCCCAGGAGCACUCUGGGCCUGGUCCCACCCUCGCCUCCCUCUGCUUUCCUGGGCCUGCACGACCUGCCAGCCUCCCUUUGGGUAAGUCAAUUGCCCACUGCGCCUUGACUCCCCCAGCCUCAUUCACCCUCUCAUCUCCCCCACCUGUCUCUCCUCCUAGCCUGGGUCCUGUCCCAUUCGUCGUCUUGGCACCUCAGACACGGGGGAACCAACAUUGCUUCAUGUUCCUUUGCAUCUAGACCAACCCAGUUCCCUUUUGGGGUCCCCAGGAGCCCUUGGGGCCUGGUCCCACCCUCACC